UAAAUUGAAUAAUGGAUGAGUGAUUCUUUCCCGAGGGAAGGAAUUGAAAAGGGAAGUCAGUCGAAGCUGACGCGGUGCCCGCCACUGUAAAAGAGAGUUGACUCACAGCGUGUCACUGGGAUUUUUGACCCGGGAAGACGUGGGUUGACGAUGAUCUUGAGCCAGGAGACCUGCUCAUUCAGAAGUUGCUGC
rnacentral:ncRNA from 2 species